rnacentral:rRNA from 1 species
GACAGAGGAUGCAAGCGUUAUCCGGAAUUACUGGGCGUAAAGCGCGCGUAGGCGGCCUUGUAUGUCGAUUGUGAAAGCCCCGGGCUCAACCUGGGAACUGCAGUCGAAACUGCAAAGCUUGAAUGUUGGAGAGGUUGGGGGAAUACCUAGUGGAGAAGUGAAAUUCGUAGAGAUUAGGUGGAACACCAGAGGCGAAGGCGCCUGACUGGCCAAACAUUGACGCUGAGGCGCGAAAGCGUGGGUAGCAAACAGG